rnacentral:rRNA from 1 species
UACGGAGGGGACUAGCGUUGUUCGGAAUUACUGGGCGUAAAGCGCACGUAGGCGGAUUUGUAAGUCAGGGGUGAAAUCCCGGGGCUCAACCUCGGAACUGCCUUUGAUACUGGCGACCUUGAGUCCGGGAGAGGUGAGUGGAACUGCGAGUGUAGAGGUGAAAUUCGUAGAUAUUCGCAAGAACACCAGUGGCGAAGGCGGCUCACUGGCCCGGUACUGACGCUGAGGUGCGAAAGCGUGGGGAGCAAACAGG